rnacentral:rRNA from 1 species
AUUGAACGCUGGCGGCAGGCCUAACACAUGCAAGUCGAGCGGAGCUGCGGACGGGUGAGUAAUGCCUGGGUAUCUGCCUGGCCGAGGGGGAUAACGUCCGGAAACGGGCGCUAAUACCGUAUACUAUUAGAUGAGCCUAGGUCGGAUUAGCUAGUUGGUGGGGUAAAGGCCUACCAAGGCGACGAUCCGUAACUGGUCUGAGAGGAUGAUCAGUCACACUGGAACUGAGACACGGUCCAGACUCCUACGGGAGGCAGCAGUGGGGAAUAUUGGGCAAUGGGCGAAAGCCUGAUGCAGCCAUGCCGCGUGUGUGAAGAAGGUCUUCGGAUUGUAAAGCACUUUAAGUUGGGAGGCGUUACCAACAGAAAAAGCACCGGCUAACUACGUGCCAGCCGCCGCGGUAAUAC